rnacentral:rRNA from 1 species
ACGCUCGACACCUACGAGAGGCAGCAGUGGGGAAUAUUGCACAAUGGGGGAAACCCUGAUGCAGCGACGCCGCGUGAGCGAAGAAGUAUUUCGGUAUGUAAAGCUCUAUCAGCAGGGAAGAAAUUGACGGUACCUGACUAAGAAGCACCGGCUAAAUACGUGCCAGCAGCCGCGGUAAUCUGAGGCCGGGCGUGGACGAAGGC